AUUGAACGCUGGCGGCGGGCCUAACACAUGCAAGUCGAACGAGUCGCGGACGGGUGAGUUAUGUCUAGUAAGCUCCCUGCUGGAGGGGGACAGCUACUGACAACGGUAGCUAAUCCCUCAUACCAUCGGGUGUGCCCAGAUGGGAUUAGCUAGUGGGUGGGGUAAAGGCUCACCUAGGCGACGAUGCCUAGCUGGUCUGAGAGGAUGACCAGUCACACUGGAACUGAGACACGGUCCAGACUCCUACGGGAGGCAGCAGUGGGGAAUAUUGGGCAAUGGGCGAAAGCCUGAUGCAGCCACGCCGCGUGUAUGAAGAAGGCCUUCGGGUUGUAAAGUACUUUCAGUGGGGAGGCGGUACCUGAAGAAGAAGCACCGGCUAACUACGUGCCAGCAGCCGCGGUAAUAC
rnacentral:rRNA from 1 species